rnacentral:sRNA from 1 species
GGGUUGGUGAGGGCAAUCUAGUCAACAUCUGUCAAUCCAUUGCUUGUUAGCAUUAUUUUAGCUGAUUUGUCUGACUGGGCAGGUGUCCCCUUUCUCCCUCAGUGCUCCAUGUGCAUCCCUCUUGAAGCUUCGCACUCUGUUGAAGAGGACACUCAUCCCAGGUAGAGAGGGGGUGGGAAAUUGGGCCAAUUGAAACUAUGUCCUUUUCUUUCCAUCAGAUAAAUGCUGCUUAACUGGGAUCUGUUGACCUCUCAAAUUC